UACUUUGUUAAGUAGGUCCUUCCCCAGAU
rnacentral:piRNA from 1 species